GCCCUCGGGUGUCGACGAGGCAGCACUGCAGCCACCCCCGGCCACCCCCGCGUACGGAGAACACUGCAGGCAGCCGGCGCACACGUGCCACUCUCCGGUGUUUCGGGGACGGUCACCCCUCCUUUUUAUUUCUUGGCCUGUUUGAUUGUCAGCUCUUAUACACGCUGCCGAGUACAAUGGACUGCAGUCCCUGAGCGGAGCCGAAAGAUACUGCUGCGCGGUUCAGAGUACCAACCCGUAAUCCUGGAGGAUAACAGCUACGGUGACUCCCCGGCAGAGUAGCCAGGUCUGGCAAAAGCUGUCCAUACCCGCUGUGUUGGUACGUACGUCGUUUGCACACUGCUGCCUGGGCUGCGUGGCCAUUAACGGCUGCAGGUAGAGGCAUGCAGCCAGAGAUGAGCUGAGCCGUUAUUUUUAGCCGCCAUUAGAAGAACUCAGAACAAAGAAAACUCAGUAACAGGAGUGUGAAUUUGCAUUUCAAUGUUAUAAUGGCAAACACAAUGUGUUUUAAACAAGAUGAUUCUUUAUAAGGGUGAAUUUUCCCAAAUUAUUGAAGUAUAUAUAUCCACACUAGUGUAUUAUUAAAAUACUAUUCAUUAGAAGUAUUUCUUUUCUAAUGAAAGGAGGCUGCUCACAUAGUCCUGACAAAUUACAGGAAGUAUCAUUUAUUACAGUAUAAACUUCCUGCCUGUCUUUUAACAGUUCAUUGCCAGUAAUAAAGUAUGCCUUGCUUACGCUUAGCAGCCACAAUAGUGUAGGAUGGUAUGCAAAGUAGCAUGAAGUUUAGCUCAGACUAAUCAUCUUAAUAUCUACCCUGAUUCUUAGGAAGAUUUGCAGCCUAAGGCAACUGUCGUGUCUGUGGGCCUCUUAUUACUUAAUUUAAAAUACAUUAUUCUGCAAUAUUAAUCCUGUGCUUUCAGCGACUAUAGUGCAGUCAUCCACUGAGAUUGUUGCUGGAAUAGAAAGCAAAUGACUUUAUUCUAGGUUAAACAUGGAUGUGAUGCAGUGUUUGAAAAGCCAAGGUUUAAAAAAAAUAAAGGAAAAAAGAGGGAUUCCUAUAAAUGUUUUCCCUAUGUGGAUAGCUGUUGCUGUUCCACAAAAUAUAAUAAUCAGAGAACUCUCUUUUUUCCUUUCUCCAAGCAACCCAGACUGAUCUUUGGUCAUGUGUUAUAUCAGCAACAUAUAUUAUGGCACCACAUUUUCUUCUAACCCAUGCACUUGGCCUUCCAAGGCCAAGUUGGAUGUUGGAUCUCGGAGGAUAAGACUGAAAUCAAAUGUGUUGUUGCAUCUUCACAUCCAGUACAUGGGAAUUUCCAGCUGAUUUAUCAGUAUAGACAUGGUCUUUAGGAUCAGCUGGACUUGCACUUUCUUUCCAGAACACUUCUGUAGCUUCUGACAUUCAUAUGCAUUAGUGGAAAACUGUCAUUUGCAUGAUGGAGCAUGAAAAUAUAAAACAUUUUGUUCAAAAAAAAGUUCUUUUCACAUUUUUAAAAUCUAUAUGCAUUUGUUUUUGUUUUAAUUUGGGAAUAUGUAUGUAGUUUGAGAAGAUUAAUGACUAAUAAUCUUGGUAUUUCUCUACAGUCUUCUGCCACAUCAUUUGACUAGUUCAUCCAUGCAAUUCCUCUGUUGCAUAAGUUCUGAGACUUUUUCAGGCAGAGGCUGUCACUCAGAGAUAGUUGCACCAAAUUAUGUAAGAGGUUUUUUUAUUUGAUUUGUGCAGACAUUGUAUUUUGAAGUUCAUACAAAAUGCUGCAGUCUCAAAACACUUAUUUCAUCUAUACAGUCUAAUAUAGCUUAUUAAAGUGAAUAAUCGUGCAAGGAGCUACAUUUAUGCUGGAAGAUUUAUCUUUGUAAAGAUAUCAGACUUUCUGACUGUUCUUAACAUUUAUAGUUUUAGCACUUUGUUGGCAAAUCCUUAGGUAGUUAAAAAAAACAGAAUUCAGAUGUUAAAGUAGUUGCAUUAUAUUUUCAUUUACUUUCUGCUUAAAAAAUAUCAGUUAAAAAUAAGGGUUAUUUUUUAAACUAGUCUGUGGAUAAACCAUGUAUGUAAUAGUCUGGAAACAAUUGAUAAGCAUGAGUAAAAUGUAAUUCAGGGUCUGAUCCUGUAAUCCAUGCUCACAGAUGUAUAAAUGAUAACAUUUUCAGUUUAAGGGCACAAGCAGUUCUAAAAAUACUUAACUAAUUUUGCUCAUUUCCCAGUGUUCUGUAGAGAGUGGCUAUUUUAAAAAGUUAACCAAGUCUGUGUAGUUUUAAUUAGAUGUAUUAAAAAGAUAAAACAAGGAAAUAUAGCUCACAUUCAAACACUCAAAUAUGUGAAAAUAGCUGAAAUUGCUCUUACUGCACUAAGCUCAUUGAAUUGACUUGCUGGAAUGUUGAAUAUUAGAAUGAUCAGACCAGAGUGUUAACAGCUUUAAUGCUUUUAUCUGGAGCGGUUCGCCCACCUCCCCACCUGAGGGUUACCGAGCAGGCACAGUCGACUUUCUGAUGGCUGCAAUGCCGGGCUUCAUGCUGGUGUGUGAACUGCUGCUGUCUGUGCUUAGUGCAAAAAAGAGUGACUAAGACAGACCUUUGUGGUGAGAACCCUUGAUAAAGUUCUGUCGGGAACGCAUCCCGCUGUCCUCGAUAGAAAAGCCACCCUAGAUCUCAAGUUCGAUUCGGUAACUGAUUAAAUGGAUUCUGGUUUAGAUCACGAAUAUAUCACAUAGUCAAAAUUGUGCAAUAUUCUCCAUGAACAAUUAAAGUGAUUAUUUCAUUUUAGACCUUGAGUAAGGAGAUUGAAUGAGCUGGUAAACAUUACUUGGUGUUAAGAUGGUAUGAAAAUUUAAUAUCUUUGUUCUUCAGUCUCAGUGCUGCAGGAGUCUCUCUUUCGUCCUGGUAGAUAAUAUUAAUUGCUGUUUCUCUACCUGUGGAGCAUAUGAGAUUUGCCAUGCAAGCUCAGAAUGAAUGCAAUUAUCCAACAACCUUACAAAUUUAGAAAAUACUUUCUGCAGCCGAGACAUAUAGCAAUGUUAUAGCAUAUGUACAACCUAAAAAGACGGUUUCCAGAGAUGCAUAUGUAUAUUAAGUUUCAGCCUUCUGGGUGUGUGACUAUUCAGAGACCCCCAGCGAACUGUGUCCAGGUUAGCCUGUAGCCAAACAGGCAGACCCAGCACACCGUGCCUGUGGUGCGUUCAAGCUGAAAGAGACUUCAGGUGCACUGUCAUCACCAGGUAUCAUGCUGACACGGUGUCCACAAGGGGUGGAUCUUUUCUGGGCAAUUCACAGCUGCUCUUAGACUACCAAAUAGUCAGAAUCCUAUACGGAAUUAUUAAUGGUUUUGCUACUGAAAAAAGAAAUAAAAACAACAUUAAACUACUGCUUCAUUGUUCUACUACCUUUAGCUCACAGAGCUUUAGUUCCUGGGGAAGCAAUAAGGGGUAAGAUGAAAUAGGAUUUUUUUCCAGCUUUUUUUAGUAGCAGACUAGUGAAGGUGAUAUGAUCAAGGUCCCUAGGUUUUUUUUUUCUUUUCCUCUAUCCAAGAAAACUCAGAAGGAUACAUCACUGCUUUGACAGAGAGGGGAUAAAACAAAAUCAAAAAAAGAAGAGCUGCUUUUUCAGGAGCAAUUCCCACUUACUGUGAUUUAAGCACCCACUCUGAGGUUCUGGGACUAAGUACAUGGUCCAUAUGCUCUGACUGCAAAAAACACUAUCCACAAAGAGCGAGGUCACUGUGAUUACCUAUGUGAAGUUUCAUUCAGGAUGCCCAUUAUCUGGAGAAACCCAUUGUUGCACAUGAUCUAUCUUAUAUUUUCUCAACAUAUAAUACUUGAAGACCAAUAUAAAUAUUCUGUAGAGUGAUACUUUCUAAGUCAUUAAUUUUAAAUGAUAAAUCAAAAAUAUUUUAAAAAGAGAGAUUUGUUCUGCAUUGUCAGAGAAUAACUACUUCUAAAAUAAACUAAAAAGGCUCUAUAAAUGAAUAAAUUUUGCAAUUUUUUGCCUUCAAUAGUGUUCAAAGGUUAAAAAUGAAUUAAAAUUGUAAAAUAAGUGCACUAGCUACUUAUUUCAUUUAUUUUAUCUUUCCCUUUCCUCCUUUGAAUACUCUUUUCCUUAAAUUGUAUUUUCCAGAUAUUGCUAUAUUCCAGUUGUACUUUCUCUUUUUCUAAUAUUCUCUUCGUAAGUAUCCCCUUAAAGCACUUUAAAAAGUAUCUGACGAAUAUCGCUGUUUCUCUGUAUUAUGUGAAUGAUGUUAAUUAUCUUUACUUUUUAAUGGUUUAAAAAUUCAACUUCCCUAACUAAGAGUAUGUUUUUAAAAAAGUAGCGAUUGCACAGGGGAUGCUCCCAUUUUCUAUUUUUGCUUUUCUAGAUUAACGUUCAAAUAUUUCCUGAUAGAAAUGUAUGUUUUUGCAGGUGGAACAUUCCUCUGAUAGGUACAUUUGGUAUUGAAAUGAGUUAGUCCCGUAUAAAUCCUGGCAUAGGACUUUCUUCACUAGUUUUAGAUGGAUCUCUUCUUUCUCAAAGGUAUGGCACUAGGUGAGAAAAAGGUGCCGUCAACCUGUAGUUAUAUUUAUACCCGUCGAGGGGUGGGGAUCUUUAUGUAGAAAGGGGACACACAAAAGUGUAGCGAAGGGGCAUAUUUUUCUAAAUGUGCCCAGGAAACCUAUGAGAUAGGUGACACAGAGAAUUCAGAGGCCUUAAAACAGUGUCACCAUUUGAAAAGCAAAUUAUAAGCUGCAGGAGUGUGUGCACUCCUGCAAUGCUUAACAUAACCACAGUCUUCACUUUGAACUAUGCCUGACUAUUGGCUUACAUCCCGUUUUCAUGUAGCAAUAUCCAAGGUAACACAAAUCUGGCUCCAACUGUAAUGUACGUAGGAGACAGCGAGUAUUAAGACACCAAAGAAUUCAAAAUGUUUGAAUCUGGAAGGACGAAAGAACAGCGUACUCAGUGAUCAGCCUUUCAGGUGAAGGAGACAACAGCUGUGGUUUUGGUCCCUGUUCCCUUGAUUAUUUCUGUAUGCAUGGGUUAGUGACUAUCUCAUCUAAUUAAAAAUAAACACUGUGAUCGAGGAUCAAAACUCACAGGUCCCUCUUUUCCUUGACAAAGCCGUAACUAAAUGCUGUUGAAUAUGUGUGAUAUGUUAUGUGCAGAGCCCUUUAAGAUUCCAUCUGAUUUCUUUGAUCUUGUUUUAGGGUGCUUUCAGUGUAUUUCCAGUGAGCUAUAGUUUGCUCAAAUAUGUAUAUGUAUUUAUGUAUAUGUUAACAUAUAUAUGUUUUAAAUUCCUCUUCCCUUUGCAUUACUCUACUGAUUUUUUUUCUUAUAACUGUCUCCCAUGUCAAGAAGAUUUAACAAAAUGAAAAGUAUGUCUUCAUAGGAUAAAGACACAUUUUUGUUAGUUACCGUAAUACAGACAUGAAAGGAAAGAUAAAAGAAAAGAGAAGUAGUUCUUCAGAUAAAGUCCGUUAAGUAUUCAUAAUGUGAUGACAUAGGUGAUUGUGAUAUUAUCUAGACAGAAGAGCUCUGCCGAAGGUAGCUUUCAGACAAUUAUAUUGGUAAAAAGAAAAACUGGUAAAAGCUGAUGAAGUCAUUAAAUUUUCAAAAGUUACAAAUUAUCCUGUAAAGCUUCAGUGACUGCAAAUUAGCCUUUGCUAUAGCCCUCUGCUAACAAGCUAUAGAUCAUUUUAUUAUUCAUGAAUUUUAGUAAUUUCAGGACACCACAGGUCAUCUUAUGCUCAUUUAUUUGCUAAACACCUUGUGCUGGUAUGCCUAUGCUGAAAAAUUGCUACUAUUUACUUCCCGUGAGACAAGCAAGCAACAAACUGGUGGAUUUGGCCCCAGACAUCCACUCUGCCAGGCAACAUAUACAUCUUGCUGUCAGUGAAAUAAAUGAGCCCUUAAAUUGGCUGCAAAGCUUUAAGAGCUGAAAUUUGUAUGUCUAGUUAUCAAACAGAAAGUUCAGAACACCUGCCAAUAUGAAACAUAAUUAUGACAAGCUGUUACAUUUUACCUUUAACUUUUCAGCUUUAACACCACAACUUCAUUAUAAGAAUCUCCUCCUCCCUGCCCCUCCUUUCUCCCUUCCCCCAGACUCAGCUCCCCUCCCAAAAAACGCUCACUGCAUUCCAUUGUAAAUGCUGAGUUAACGCUAAUACACUGGGUCAUCUAUCAGCAGACAAAAAAAAAAGUCAGACAUAUUAAAAAUGCUAGGAUUCCUCCUAAGAAUAACCACAAAUUUUCACAGAUUACCAAAAAUGGCUAACUGUGUGUAGAUACCUGACCUUUAUAACCGCCUUUGAAGGCUUUUCAGAGAAAGUCAAAAAUCAUGAAACAGACUUACAGAUUCCUUGUUUUGUUUUUUACUUGAAAAAAUCGAUUCAAUUACUUCUAUCUUAUUUCACUGACCGACUUCAUUAUCUUUCCUUUUGGGUCGCAGAGCCCUACGGCACAGGUUUUUGCCACAACAAAUCCAACAAUUGAUAAGCUGUUUGCUGUUUAUCCAAAUGUUCAUGGGAGGGCAAAAAAAGAAAAAAGCCACCAAAAAUAAAUGUUACUCUUCUUUAAACCCACUUUAAACUAUGCCCUGUGUGCACUAUAACUAAAUAUCUUCCCUUGUGUGCAUGUAUACCUCUGUGUUACAAACCACAAACAGCUAUGUGAGAAGAACACUAUUUAAAGGAAAGACUUUCUUCUUAGCUGUCAAGGAAGAUAAUAUCUAGGCUAAAAUUCAUUUCAACAUUUUUUAUAGAUAUAUGUAUAUAUACACAUAUACACACAAUAUGUAUAUAUCAAUAUGAAGAGCUUAAAAAUUACAACCCUUGACCAAUUGCACCCUUCUGGUCAAUAAAGUAAAUAUGAGCAAUAUGAGAAACAAAUCAAAUGUAUGAACUUUACCUCUUUUAUUACUUUGACCAUAUUAUUUCUUUUUUUAUAGCACCUGCAUACUGUAUUUUCAUUCAAGAAAUUUGAUUGCGGAUAAAGUAGUCCCUACAUGUCAUAGCAAAAAAAUGACACACUAGCCAAAGUUUAAGUCAAUGUAUUAGUCAAAACACACCUUCUUUUCUUCUUUUUCUGACCUUUUGCUACAGACAUAGAAAUCUCACAUAUAUUUUGGGGUUAACAGGACUUCAGCAGGGCAAUCUGUGUUUUAAGCAGGGUUUCUUGCUGGUUCAGAUAUAUUGUUUGUUCAGUGUUGGGAUCCUAUGUAUUCAUACUGCGUUUUCUGUGUUUUGUGUACUGAUAAUGAAUUAAAACAGCAGAAAAUCAUAUACGUAUAUUUUAAAUGUGACAUGUCUGAUUUCAUUUUAAUGUGAUUUGAAAUAUUUCACCCUGAAUUUAUAAAAAAAAUCAUUAGCACAGCUA